GCAGCGGGGACGACGACGAGAGGAGCCGGCUGACAAAAGAGCGGAGGAGCCCGAGUAGCCCGAUCCGGCGAGCCCACUUCCGACACGCCUGAGGCGGCUUCGACAGAAGCCAACCGGCCGCCACUCGGUCCGACAGCGGCGACGAUGAAGAUGAACGUCUUCAGGGGGUUGACGACCCACGUGAAGCUGGUGGUGGGACGACUGCAACGGUGACACCAAGCGCAACGUCACACCAAUGCUUCACUUCUUUUGACACUUGUGUGACGGUCCUCGGGCGUCUGGCGGCGGGUGAGGGGCCACCAGCCUUUCAACUUCUUGCUGCGGAAGAUGGAGGCCCGCGGGCCGGCGCGCUCCUUGGCCAUCUGCACCGUGCACUUGUCGGACGAUUUGGCGCCGCGCACCAUCUCACUUAGCCGCAGAUCCAACGAGCCUGCGUUGUACACGAGCGCAAUUUGCGGUUGACUGAGAGAAAAGUAACAACAUGCAUGACUCACAGCAAGCACAAAAUACUUGUAUUCAACUUUUUGCUAAUAUACUAUCGUCUUCUCAAAAUUGAAGCACUAUUUUCAACCAAAAUAUACCUGCUUAAAAAAAAACUAACAAACAACAAAAUAAAAAAACAAAUACUUUUUUUGGGGGGGUGGGGGGAAUAUUCAACUAAUUUCUCCAAUGUCUGACUUUUUUUUCUCUAAAAAAACAUGAAUCUUUUUUUGAGAAAAAUAUAUUUUGUGGGAAAAUAGACUUGAAGAAUUAAUGACUUUGUCAGUUUUAAGAAACGUGAACUUUCUCAAAAUUUUGAAUAUGCUUUUCUCAAAUAUAGACACCUUUAUUGAAAUAGAUCGUUUUUUUUAAAUAUAAGACAUUCUUUCAGAAAUGUAACAUUUGUCUCGCAAAUAUUAAACUCUUUUUAUGCAUUUUUCUUUUAUCAAAAUUACAUUUUUGCUCAAAAAUGCAACCCUUUUUUCCCUCACU